rnacentral:siRNA from 1 species
AUGGAAUCUGCCCAACCUAAUCA